UGUGACUCAAUCAGCAGCCAAAUCAGUGCAGCUUGGUCAGACUGUCACUAUUGACUCUGUUAAGAGGUCAGAGUUGAUCAGUGGCUGUCCAGGCCUUUCAGAGCCACUGACACACCAGCAGCACAAUGAUGAUGUCACUGGCUCUACUGCUGACCAUCCUGGGGCUCCUGGUUCAGGGUUCCUCAGCAGUCAUCACCCUGACUCAGACUCCAGGAUCUCACUCCGUUACUCCAGGACAGACUGUCUCCUUUAGCUGUAAAGCCAGUUCACCUGUUGAUGAUGAUUUGCACUGGUACCUUCAAAAACCUGGAGAAGCUCCUAAGCUCCUGAUCUAUUCCACUUCUUCACGUUGGACUGGAGUGUCUGAUCGUUUCACUGGAAGUGGAUAUGAUAUUGAUUUCACUCUGACCAUCAGCAGAGUUCAGGCUGAAGAUGCAGGAGUUUAUUACUGUCAACAUAGUGAGAACUUUCCGUUCACACAGCGAUACAACUUCGUACAAAACCCUCACCACUGCAGAGGAACUGAUCCAAAGCUGAACUGAAACAUAAGUUGUACAUGUAGGGAAUAAAAGAAGAGUGUAAUACAAAUUUUGUACUAAAUUAAGACUGUUGUUAGUUUCAGUUAGUGAUGGAAAAUUUUUCGUCUUUAAUUUAUUGCCAUGUGCAGCCACAUAUUUUAGCUCAACUUUUUGUUUGAUUACUUCUUUUACGUUCAGGGUUCCCUUUAUGUGUAGCCUUACACUUGCUUAAUUUUGUGUGCUUGUUCUGUGACGCAAGCAGGCUUUCUUACUUUUGCAUAAUAUUUUAAUCAAACUUUUCAUUUUUGAGCAAAACAGUGGAAAGAAAUCUACCAAACAAACCCAUACAAAAUAAGUUAUUAUUAUAUCAUAUAAUAUAUAAUAUUUUUAAAAUGCAGCCAGAUGCUGCUUUGCUGACAGGUGUCAGUGUCAGUAUUUUUAAUUCCAUGAGUAAGAAUUGAAAAAAACACAUUACACAAGCCUGCUACGUCAACACACCUUUAAAGGUUUAAACACAGAAAUCAAAACACAAGUUUUGCUUAAUAUCUGAAACAAUAUGAAUGUUUGAAAAGGUAUUGGCUGGAAAUAUGACAAAAGAUUGGAAAGAAGAAUACCCACCAUAAGAUAAUUGCAACAUAGUGAUACUUUUAGGAUUUUUGUUUAGAUUUCAGUAGGUAAAUAUCAUAAAUAGAGUUGAGAAGAUCAACAUUUGUGUUUUACAAUAAAUGUCAAAAGACCA